AGCCCGCUAGCUCAAUCGGCAGAGCGUGAGGCUUUUAACCUCAAGGUUUCGGGUUCGAGCCCCGGGCGGGCCU